ensembl:lncRNA
CAUACUGACGGACAGAUCACUGCCCUUUUGCCGCCUUGUCUGACCGUGUUUUGUGGCUUUGGUUCACUUCACCUCACUCUUCCCCAUUCUUGUCAUUAAAUCAGGCUGUUCUGCAACCAUGGCAGCCAUUCACUCUAUGGCUUUAUUCAUGGUGUAUUUUACCCCUUCACCAAAGGCCGUUCUCGUUUCCAACAUUAUAUUUGCAGUGUUCGUCUAUCUAUCAAUAUCUGCGGAGUAUUUUUUUAACGAGUAUCCUAUUUUCUAAAGCACAGCAUGUAAAGGGUAGCUCGGUUAGCAGGAUGCUAGCAUGUAGCGCUUAGUGAGACACGCCUCAGACGAGUUGAGCAAAGACCCCGUCUGUGUACUUUAUACGUGAGCAACGGAUUUAAAUAAAAUUAAGGUUUCAAAAGACAAACUUGAAGAUAAAAAAAAAUAUAUACUCACCGGAGAGCCGCCAGGGUUUGCCGCUGCCAUCUUGGCACUCCUAAAUUCAAAACUGCUUCUGCAGACAGGCAUGGGAGGCGUGGAAAUUGUCUUUGAGUUAGUCAAACGUUUUCCUUAGUUCGAGUAGAUGAUAAAAAAAAAUAAAUAAAUAAAUGGGAUUUUAAGUAGGACUAGGCGUUCUGUAAUGAUCUCUAUUUAGGAGAAAAACUUAAUCACUCACCUCUAAACAGCUCUCUUUUAGGAGACAAACUGCUGGCUAACGGUGUCAUGUGAUCAAACAGCGUAAUUUAAUUGGCCGAGAGCCACUCGACUCGAUCUGGUGCUGAUUGCUCUGGCUUGGGUCAUUAAAGUUCAUCACUUUUGCAGGUGAAUUUUUGCAGGUGAAUUUUUUGCAGGUGAAUUUUUGCAGGUGAAUUUUUUUGCAGGUGAAUUUUUUUCAGGUGAAUUUUUGGCAGGUGAAUUUUUUGCAGGUGAAUUUUUGCAGGUGAAUAUUUUUGCAGGGAAAUUUGGAGGAUAAAAAUUCAGUGUCAUAAAUUCAAUGUCUAAAAAUACUUGAAUUCUGAUGAUACUAUAUUUCUUCCAUACAAGGUGCGUUCCCUUCACUUCCUUCCCCUGUUUUUUCACCAGUUCUUUGUGUUCGUAAUGUUCAAAUUUUGCAGUUAGUGGUCUUAGAUCUUUAAUUUUUGGUGGACUCCGUAAAAAAAGAUCUGAGCGACUGUCAUAAAGGCCUAAUGUUUGUUCAGGACUGUAAGUAGUAUUUUUACUAAACUGCUUUUAUUCUGUAAUUCUUUAGCUAGGAACUCAAUGAGUAUAAUCCUCACUCAUUGGUGUUCAGUGGUGUUCAACGGCAAUCCUGGGCAUUUAGACGAGGCAUUGAUUUGUUGAGCACAGAUGGUCAUGCCACUUGUUAAUUAAAGUAUUCCAGUUUGUCCAAUUUGUUAGAUUUAAGAAAUGGUCC